rnacentral:rRNA from 1 species
GAUGAACGCUGGCGGCGUGCCUAAUACAUGCAAGUCGAGCGAACAGACGAGGCGCUUGCUGCUCUGACGUUAGCGGCGGACGGGUGAGUAACACGUGGAUCACCUACCUAUAAGACUGGGAUAACUUCGGGAAACCGGAGCUAAUACCGGAUAAUCUCUUGAACCGCAUGGUUCAAUAGUGAAAGACGGUCUUGCUGUAACUUAUAGAUGGAUCCGGGCUGGUUUAGCUAGUUGGUAAGGUCACGGCUUACCAAGGCAACGAUGCGUAGCCGACCUGAGAGGGUGAUCGGCCACCCUGGAACGGAGCCACGGUCCAGACGCCUACGGGAGGCAGCAGUAGGGAAUCGUCCGCAAUGGGCGAAAGCCUGACGGAGCAACGCCGCGUGAGUGAUGAAGGUCUUCGGAUCGUAAAACUCUGUUAUUAGGUAAGAACAGAUGUGUAAGUAACUGUGCACUUCGUGACGGUACCUAAUCAGAAAGCCACGGCUAACUACGUG